AAAACGGGAUUCGCCUCAUUUGAAACUUGAGGAAAAUCUCUAAACACUUUCAUUUUGAUAGAAACCAUUUCCGCCGCUGACGUGCGUCUACGCCCAUCAUUUCAGCUGACACGUUGCUGUAACGUCUCCUCCGUUUCAUGCUCUUUCGAACCCUGUCAGCUGCGGGAAGGAACUUCUAAACUAAAAGCUGGCAAGACUCAGCAGAAAAAAAAUAUCGAAAGCUGCUUCUGCUGCCCCAGCUUCACUCAGGCCCUGGCUGCUCCUUCACUGGUCUACACUGCUGCCUCCUGGAACCACCCACUCUGCAACCAGGUCUGAUGCCCGGUGUGGACAUUCAGGGAUGAGGUCCCCUGGGGCUAAAUGAAUGAACAGAUUCUGAAAAGCAGAAGCUACGUCCGGGGGUCUCUGGGCCACAAAUCACUUUCUGACCUGCAGCCGUGAGGCGUGAGGCUCACUCGGAAGCUCCCGGAACCUGGAGACUGCCCUCACUCAACACUUGAACAAGCAAGGGGCCAGGUUCAAUGAAACACCUGCCCGCCCGGCACACCAGG
rnacentral:lncRNA from 1 species